ACCCAAUGGAUGAUGGCUGGCACUGAAGAAUACACCUCUGGUGUCUGAGUCCCACCGCAUGACUCUCCCCCGCUCCUCAAACCCAUUAAAACAACACCAGUGUUGCCUAGACAAACUAGAGGUCCUCCUGAAUCAAUCCAUUACACUGGCCACGUGAAACGCGCGAGCCAAUGGCUGUUGACAUCUUUGACGUCACAUAUGGCGCUUAUAAUUGAACGUGACGUACACAAUUGUCUGGUCCACGCCGCAGUCCAGCAGCGGAGAGAAGAGGGGAUAUCCUGUCCAACAGAGGGG